UUGCUUUGGCAGCACAUACACUAAAACUGGGACAACACAGAGUAGAUUAGCAUGGCCCUUGUGCAAGGAUGACACACAAACUCAUGAAGAGUUCCGUAAUUUU
rnacentral:snRNA from 1 species